AGGAUUCCCCUAGUAACUGCGAGUGAAGCGGGAAAAGCUCAAAUUUAAAAUCUGGUAGUCUCUGGCUGCCCGAGUUGUAAUCUAGAGAAGCAUUAUCCGCGCUGGACCGUGUAUAAGUGUUCUGGAAUGGACCAUCAUAGAGGGUGAGAAUCCCGUCUUUGACACGGACUCCCAGGGCUUUGUGAUGUGCUCUCAAAGAGUCGAGUUGUUUGGGAAUGCAGCUCUAAAUGGGUGGUAAAUUCCAUCUAAAGCUAAAUAUUGGCGAGAGACCGAUAGCGAACAAGUACCGUGAGGGAAAGAUGAAAAGAACUUUGGAAAGAGAGUUAAACAGUACGUGAAAUUGCUGAAAGGGAAACGCUUGAAGUCAGUCGCGUUGGCUGGGGAUCAACCUUGCUUUUGCUUGGCUUACUUCCCAGUUGACGGGUCAGCAUCAGUUUUGACCGGUGGAUAAAGGCUAGGGGAAUGUGGCACCUUCGGGUGUGUUAUAGCCCUUGGUCAUAUCACUGGUUGG
rnacentral:rRNA from 2 species